UUUAUAUGGGGAUGGAAUUGUAAUGAGACCAGAGGCAGAACAAGAAAACACACAACUGAGAACUUUUUUCCUCCUAGUAAAGGAAGCAAUGAGACAGACAUGGGCCAAAAUUAAGAGCUGAUUGAGUUGCUGAAGGUCGCUGCAAGCCUUUGCAAAACUUUGUAACAAAUUCUAUUUUCUUCAAGUUUAAGUUUCCUUCAGACUUUUCUUUCUUUCUUUCUUUUCUUUUUUUUUUUUUUUUACCCUGUAGUGGCUCCAAGUAGAAAGUAAACAACAAAGGAGAGUUCAAAGCAAUUACAAAAUACUGUAGGAUUAACCUGGUACCACCCAGCAGUAUGGAUAAGAGAGCCUGCAGUGGAAACCAGCACUCAGCCUGAACCUGGAGAUUCAAGGACUCUGCCUAAAGGCAGCUCCGGGAUGAAGACAGAGUUGAGGACUCUGCCAGCUUCCUCAGAGCACACAGACUUCAGAAAGGAGGACCUAUGAUAAAUUCAAAGAGCCAUCAGGAAUACCCUGGACACAGGUCCCCAAACUAGCCCUGACUAAGUAGGUUGAGCAAGGCAUAAGAAGACAGGUUAAAAAAAAAA